ACGCUGGCGGCAGGCCUAACACAUGCAAGUCGAGCGGUAACAGAACCAGCUUGCUGGUUGCUGACGAGCGGCGGACGGGUGCGUAACACGUAGGAAUCUGCCCGGUAGUGGGGGAUAGCCCGGAGAAAUUCGGAUUAAUACCGCAUACGCCCUAAGGGGGAAAGCAGGGGAUCUUCGGACCUUGCGCUAUCGGAUGAGCCUGCGUCGGAUUAGCUAGUUGGUGGGGUAAAGGCCUACCAAGGCAACGAUCCGUAGCUGGUCUGAGAGGAUGAUCAGCCACACUGGGACUGAGACACGGCCCAGACUCCUACGGGAGGCAGCAGUGGGGAAUAUUGCACAAUGGGCGAAAGCCUGAUGCAGCCAUGCCGCGUGUGUGAAGAAGGCUCUAGGGUUGUAAAGCACUUUCAGCGAGGAGGAAAGGUUGUAGAUUAAUACUCUGCAACUGUGACGUUACUCGCAGAAGAAGCACCGGCUAACUCCGUGCCAGCAGCCGCGGUAAUACGGAGGGUGCGAGCGUUAAUCGGAAUUACUGGGCGUAAAGCGUGCGUAGGCGGCUCGCUAAGUUGGAUGUGAAAGCCCCGGGCUCAACCUGGGAACUGCAUCCAAAACUGGCGAGCUAGAGUGCGGAA
rnacentral:rRNA from 1 species